UUGUAGGAGUCCCGGUGGGUCGUUUUGCUCUUGGUUGAGAUUCGAGAGAAGCCCAACCAAACGGAAUCUUCUCCACCAAGAAUUUGCUUUCACCCCAUUGAUCUGCGCGCGCGACGCGAGACGACCAAGACGACGACUACGAGGUUUCCUGCCCUCGCAGGAACGCUUUCAUACCUUGACGGCGACGGCGAUUUGGUUGGAUUUUUUUUUUCCAGAUCCGCGUCAAUAUCAUCAUCGCGGGCCACUCUCUUUGGUGGAUGCGUGUGCAGGGUGUGGGCUGGGAGGCGACGUGGACAAGCACCGGCAGUCUUCCAUCCAUCGACACCGGGUCACCAACCCCCUCUCCUUGGAAUUUUUCGCCAAGUGGCUUUGCUCCCUAAUUCCUAGAGGAACUUUGCCAUCACUCUGAAACAUCAGAGGCGUAGAUUCUCUGUGGAGGAUGUCAUUGGCCAUCUGAGUGUUGAGUAGAAUUCGAGGGCAAAGGACUCGCACGGAAAAGGGGCCGAAGGGACUUCUGUAGCCAACAUGGUGAACCAGAGGAAUUUCAACUCCCACAAGACCAAGGGAAAGAACGGUGUCCAACACAAUACCGACUUUAAGAAGAAGGGUAAGAAGACCUUCAAGAAGAACAAGAAGGAUGAGGGCUGCUUUACUUGUGGUUCGGUUGAACAUUGGGCCAACAAGUGCCCAAACAAGUUUAAGAAGUCAGGACAGGACUCCAAGUCUGUCAACAUGAUUGUGGGCAACAACGAGAAUGGUGCAUCUACGGUCACAGGCGACGGGUCCGUACU